rnacentral:rRNA from 1 species
UACGUAGGGAGCAAGCGUUGUCCGGAAUCACUGGGCGUAAAGGGCGCGUAGGCGGCCUGAUAAGUAGGGGGUGAAAUCUUGCGGCUUAACCGCAAGGCUGCCUUCUAAACUGUCGGGCUAGAGCACAGUAGAGGCAGGUGGAAUUCCCGGUGUAGCGGUGGAAUGCGUAGAGAUCGGGAAGAACAUCAGUGGCGAAGGCGGCCUGCUGGGCUGUUGCUGACGCUGAGGCGCGACAGCGUGGGGAGCAAACAGG